AUGAAAUUGAGUUAAACACAAUUGUCUAGAUUCCUUUGUCACUUUUUAUGGACAACAUUUAUUCAAAAUGCAGUGGACAUGUGAACAAAUUUGGGUCUUUAUAAUAUGGCAAAUGCAGUUGCCUUGCUUUUGGAAAAUAAAGCAUCCUAAAAUUGGCAUCAAUUACUAAUUAGAAUGUUAGAGUUUAAAAUAAGACUAUGAUCUUCAGAGAGUGAUUGGACUACUGAGAUCGUAGUACAUCAUCACUGGAUGGUCUAGGUGCAGUCCCAACUUGAUUUUCUUUCUCUACUCCCAUUUUCAGAUUUUUCAUCAGACUCUCUAGUUGUUUAUUUCCAACCACCUUUCAUGCCCUGUGUGUAAUUCUCUCCUUUUGAUACAUUAUUGCAUUUUAGUAUUGUUUGAAAUUCAAUCGAAUGAAAAGUACUUUAUUAAUCAUCACUCUAUUGUCUGUCUAUUAUUUUUCAAAAUCUUUAGAAAUGCAAACAAUGCUGCAAUCAACAUCUUCCUGUUUAUAUCUAUUUAUAUGUGCCAAGUUUCCUGCAGGUUUCUGAGGUCUUCCUUAUGCUUAUCAAUUAUGAAAAGAUUAAAGGCAAAAGGAUAGUUCUGAGGGAAACAUAUUACCC
rnacentral:lncRNA from 1 species